UACGUAGGGUGCAAGCGUUUAUCCGGAAUUAUUGGGCGUAAAGAGCUCGUAGGCGGUUUGUCGCGUCUGCUGUGAAAACUGGAGGCUCAACCUCCAGCCUGCAGUGGGUACGGGCAGACUAGAGUGCGGUAGGGGAGAUUGGAAUUCCGGGUGUAGCGGUGGAAUGCGUAGAGAUCCGGAAGAACACCGGAGGCGAAGGCGGCUUGCUGGGCUUGGUCUGACGCUGAGGCGCGAAAGCGUGGGGGAGCGAACAGG
rnacentral:rRNA from 1 species